rnacentral:rRNA from 1 species
ACAUGCAGUCGAACGUGAAGCAGGAGCUUGCUCCUGUGGAAAGUGGCAGGCGGGUGAGUAACGCGUGGGAAUUUACCCAGUGGUUCGGAAUAACGCAUGGAAACGUGUGCUAAUACCGGAUACGCCCUCCGGGGGAAAGAUUUAUCGCCAUUGGAUGAGCCCGCGUCGGAUUAGCUAGUUGGUGAGGUAAUGGCUCACCAAGGCGACGAUCCGUAGCUGGUCUGAGAGGAUGAUCAGCCACACUGGGACUGAGACACGGCCCAGACUCCUACGGGAGGCAGCAGUGGGGAAUAUUGCGCAAUGGGGGAAACCCUGACGCAGCCAUGCCGCGUGAGUGAAGAAGGCCUUAGGGUUGUAAAACUCUUUCAGUGGUGAAGAUAAUGACGGUAGCCACAGAAGAAGCCCCGGCCAACUCCGUGCCAGCAGCCGCGGUAAUACGGAGGGGGCUAGCGUUGUUCGGAAUUACUGGGCGUAAAGCGCGCGUAGGCGGGCUGGUUAGUUGGGGGCGAAAUCCCAGGGCUCAACCCUGGAACUGCCCUCAAUACUGCCAGUCUUGAGUUCGAGAGAGGUAAGCGGAAUUCCUAGUGUAGAGGUGAAAUUCGUAGAUAUUAGGAAGAACACCAGUGGCGAAGGCGGCUUACUGGCUCG